GUCUGAUUGGCAGCUGUGGGCUCUUGUGUCCUCUGCCGGUUCCCCUUCAUCAGCAGCUGCAUGAUCUGGGAAGGGGAGACGGAUAUGACUGAGUGAUUGUCCUGCCCGUGGUUCCUAGCCAGUUGCUGGCGACUUGCCUCCUUGGCAUUGAUGGUGGACACUUCGGUGAUCCCGGCCACCUGGAUCACCCCCUUGGAGUCUUCCCUCAGCUCCAGUGACGGUGAAGUGCUGCGGGGUCCUGCCUGACACAUGAGGAAUUUCAAGCUAAACUCUAGCCUGUGGAGGGUCAGAUCUCAGAACCCAGGACCCUGACCCCAAACCAGAAGGCUCUUAACUGCAUCUCUGCAGCCCCGGGGCCCUCAAGACCCUGCCUGGCCCUCCACGCCCAGCCUCUAGUCCGAUGCAGAACAAGGCAGGCCGAGAGCUGCUGACAGUUGGGUGACUCGUGUGAAAAAAGCAGUGGAAGAAAUGGUGCUGUAAUCUCCCUCAGGGCUAUGAAGAGCCCAGGGGAACAGUGUGCAACACAUGCUGAGUCCUCUUUCAAGGAGUCAUGAAGAGGAAGAGUAGGCGUGGAGGCAGGAGAAGGGACUUCACCAACUGCCCUCACCCCAAGACUCUGCUAUCAAAUGUAUCAUGGCAAGAACAAGCAGAGGACAGGCGGAGUGGCAACAUCUGAGGCUCCCUUGCACAAGGGAUCAGCAGGAGAGCCAGGACUUGUUCCAAAGGACUUGUGAAUAGGCCAGGCAUGGAAAGGCAUCAGCAAGCAACAGAGGCUGGUCGUGAAGGCAUUGCCAAGUCCACCUGGACACCCAGUUUCUUUGAUGACCAAAUGCUCCCGCAUCAAAGCACCAAAUGUCAUCCCACAUGCCACCAUCCCACUUAAUGAGGGCUUUGUCUGGGAUCCAUCUGUCAGGACCCCGGAUUAUCAAUGUUGUUUCUGACUGUCACAGUGCACAAGGGAGCCCUUGUGCCCCUUGACCAGGUAAACCAUCGCUGAGCCAGAAAGGAUUGGGAAGGAAGCCUGGGAUGCCACGGAGAUUGGCUUGGGGUAUUCAGGACAGUGCAAUUCAUCUGUGAAGCACCUACAAUGUGCCCCAUACAUGGGAAAGGCCUUAGAGAAAUAGGAGAAUGAGGCCUGGUGUCUUGCUUUCUGACACACUCAGAUUCAUAACCAGGGGAGAGCUGGUGUACGGAGGAGAGAUCCCCAGAUACAGCCCUGCUGGCACAGGAAGGCAACCUGGAAGAGACGACCUUGGUAAAGUGUCUUCAAGGUUGAGCAGGAGGCAGCCAAGAAAGGUGGGGCAGAAGAACAUUCAAGAGAAAAACAUGAGCAAGAAGGCCAGGAGGUAAAAGGCCGGACAUGGUCUCUGGUCUCUAGGAAGAAAUUCAGGUUGGAAAGAAAGCCUGCAGUUGUGGACUGGAGAGAUGGCUCAGUGGUUAAGAGCACUGACUGCUCUUCCAGAGGUCCUGAGUUCAAUUCCCAGCAACCACAGGGUGGCUCACAACCCUCUGUAAUGGGAUCCAAUGACCUCUUCUGGCCUGCAGGCAUGCACGCAGGCAAAUCACUAUUACAUAAGAAAGCCUGCAGUUUUGCUUUGGUACUGCUUCCUGGGUAUCCUCACACGGUAGACCCAGGCCCUGCUGUAAGCUCGUGAUGACCCUGGCUUUGGAACCCUCUGAAUGCCACCCUGGCUGAUGGUACACAACACAGGUCCAAGGACAUUUGCUCAAUACAGCUGCCUUUAGGGGCAGUUUGGGAUGUCCAGGCACCAGGCUAAAGGCUUUUUUGGUCUUCUCUCUCUCUCUCUCUCUCUCUCUCUCUCUCUCUCUCUCUUUCAAGAUAGGGUUUCUCUGUGUAGUAC
rnacentral:sRNA from 1 species